AGUAUUCUUUGCCUCCUCAAGUGGGAAGGAGUUGGGAAAGUGGAAGUCCCCAUGAGGCUGUAGACUUCUGGGGUUUGACCAAAACCUAGUGAUACAGAGACAAGCAUUGAAUCAGCGGCCUCAACACCAGACACUCUGAAUUUAUUUACUAUAUACUAGAGCUCCUGUAACUGUACUGUUCCUACAUAUCAGCAGUGGAAUGACGGUUUUGCCCCCGAAGAAUGUAGCAAGAGAGAGAGGCUCUGAGAUACAGGCGUGGCGGCCAUCAAGCUGUCCGAUAGAAGCGAGUAUCGACCGCAUCAAUCAGGAUCUGAGAUACGUAGGACGAGUAGGAGAGGAAGUUCAUAAUAGGAAGUUGCGAUACAAAGCUCCUAGAACUGCUGGAUUGUAAAAAUUGCUCAACUCUUGGACGUUGUAUGCUUAUGUAAGGACCCUUUGCUUUAUGGUCAGUUAGGAUAUUUUUGCUCAAGUUUGUGAUCACCUUUGAAUUAUGUUAUCAAUUGUUUUGAAUGGUAUCUUAUGGGAAAGUGAUAUAGUUCGUGCUCUUGAAGAAAAUGCUAGAGCUUCCUACAAUUUGGACACUCUUUGAACUACAGAGCCGUUUGAGAAAGAACCAAUUCAGAUGCUGAUGAAAAAAGUUGAUGCAUUGAUGAAAGCCAUGGAGCGGAGUCUAUGAAAAUAAAGAAAGAAAGAAGCCGUAGCUAAAGAUAGAAAAGCUGCAGCAGCUAAGGUGGAUGCUAACAAAAAGAACAGAAUUAUAAACUCAUCUAAGAGAGUGAUGGAGAAAGCGAGAGAGUCAUGUUCUCCUUCUUUGCUCGGCUUGGACGGGAAAUGAUAGACAGAGGGAGAGAUCGAAGGGACUGGUCAUCUUUUUCUUCAUCUCCAAAAUGAUCUUCGAGAAACUGAGCUCAUUUGAUCAAAUCGGAAUAUCCGAUUGAGCUAUCAGAGAUCUUUGAGUGAUUGAGCUCUUGGUUAUAUAUGGGUUUGAUGAUGCAAUGGCCAUUGGUUAUAAACACAGUGUUUGCUUUGUAAAGGUUGUGAAUAUAAAGAGUUGGUUUCAAUUGAAUUUGGCUCAUGGACUAGAUAUGAAAAGUGAAGCUUGGAGAGAAGAUGGUUUUAGGAUUUCUAUGAGGAUCUAUUUUAGGAGUUGAGCAAGCAGUCAAGCACACACAGAUUAAGAGCUUGAAUAUCUGUGAUAAUUUAGCUGACCACAUAAUUCGGCAAGCCACAAACUAAUCAUGAAAUUGCCAAUAAGAUAGUGCAUACAUUGAAGAGGCAUCUUCCUUUCUCCAGUCAAGAGGGAUUGCAUGAACUCAAGAAAAUUGUUGUUGGGUUUGUGGAGAAUAUUUAUACUGCUACUAUUAGCCAAGUACAUUUGAUGUCCUGAUCAUCUAUAGUACAUUUGGAUUAUCUACAAAGAAUUUCUCUGAAGAUGCUCACUAUGGAGACCAAGUCUCAGAACACAAUGGCCAAUUCUUUAUAAAACAACUCUGUUGACAAGUAACCCUGCUGGGACUGCCAACCAACUAAAAGUGGUUGCUGUGGCUGAAAUUGAAAGAUCAAGUGUUGAUGAGACAACAUCUCGGAGCUGCAAACUAUAAACUUCGACUUGAUUAUGAUAAGAAGUACUGAAAAUUGGAAGAAACCUACAGUGUUGGGAUUGGCUUUAGGUGAGGCAAAUGAGAAGAAAAUAGAUGAGGAGCAGACAAAUUGUGUGAACAAAGAAGGUAUUCAAGGCCUCAAGUGACGUCUAGACAACAGUGUUGAGACUGACUUUAGAUGAGGCAAAUGAGAAGAAAAUAGUUCAAUAGAUGAGGAGUAAAAAAAAUUGUUAACAACAAAUCCCGCGGCAUAGCGCGGGCGCUUUU